UACGUAGGGUCCGAGUGUUGUCCGGAGUUACUGGGCGUAAAGCGCGCGCAGGCGGCGGUGUUGGCCCGGCGUGAAAGCCCCCGGCUCAACCGGGGAGAGUCGUCGGGGACCGCACCGCUUGAGGGCGGUAGGGGCUGGUGGAAUGCCUGGUGUAGUGGUGAAAUGCGUAGAGAUCAGGCAGAACACCUGGGGCGAAGGCGGCCAGCUGGGCCGUCCCUGACGCUGAGGCACGAAAGCGUGGGGAUCAAACAGG
rnacentral:rRNA from 1 species